rnacentral:rRNA from 1 species
UACAGAGGGGGCAAGCGUUGUUCGGAAUUACUGGGCGUAAAGGGCGCGUAGGCGGCCUUCUAAGUCGAACGUGAAAUCCCCGGGCUCAACCCGGGAACUGCGUCCGAUACUGGAAGGCUUGAAUCCGGGAGAGGGAUGCGGAAUUCCAGGUGUAGCGGUGAAAUGCGUAGAUAUCUGGAGGAACACCGGUGGCGAAGGCGACUACCUGGCCUGUUUCUUGACGCUGAGGCGCGAAAGCUAGGGGAGCAAACGGG